rnacentral:rRNA from 1 species
UACGGAGGGAGCUAGCGUUGUUCGGAAUUACUGGGCGUAAAGCGCGCGUAGGCGGCUUUGUAAGUUAGAGGUGAAAGCCCGGAGCUCAACUCCGGAACUGCCUUUAAAACUGCAUCGCUUGAAUCCAGGAGAGGUGAGUGGAAUUCCGAGUGUAGAGGUGAAAUUCGUAGAUAUUCGGAAGAACACCAGUGGCGAAGGCGG